UACGGGGGGGGCAAGCGUUGUUCGGAAUUACUGGGCGUAAAGGGCUCGUAGGCGGCCAACUAAGUCAGACGUGAAAUCCCUCGGCUUAAUCGGGGAACUGCGUCUGAUACUGGAUGGCUUGAGUUUGGGAGAGGGAUGCGGAAUUCCCAGUGUAGCGGUGAAAUGCGUAGAGAUUGGGAAGAACACCGGUGGCGAAAGCGCUCUGCUAGACCGUAACUGACACUCACAGGACGAAAGCUAGGGGAGCGAAUGGG
rnacentral:rRNA from 1 species